GAUGAACGCUGACAGAAUGCUUAACACAUGCAAGUCUUUGGCGAAGCUGUGCUUGCACCGCCUAUCCACCGCGGACGGGUUAGUAACGCGUAAGGAACUUGCCCUGCAGUCAGGGAUAACAGACGGAAACGACUGAUAAGACCUCGUAAAUUCAGGCGGACUCAUGUCCAGCCUUAUGAACAGAGCUGCUGCAGGAGAGCCUUGCGUCCUAUUAGUUUGUUGUUGGGGUAACGCCCCACCAAGCCGAUGAUAGGUAGCCGGCCGGAGCGGGUGGACGGCCACAAGGGGAAUGGGAGACGGCACUUACUCAUACGGGAGGCAGCAGUGGAGAAUAUUGGAGAAUGGGGGCAACCCUGAUGAAGCUAUUCUGUGUGUACGAUGAAGGUUUUCGGAUUGUAAAGUGCUUUGAGAAGGGAAGAAAAAAAUGACGGUACCUGCAGAAGAAGCGACGGCUAAAUACGUG
rnacentral:rRNA from 1 species